rnacentral:rRNA from 1 species
CACGUAGGGCGCAAGCGUUGUCCGGAAUUAUUGGGCGUAAAGAGCUCGUAGGUGGUUUGUUACGUCUGCUGUGAAAACCUAGGGCUUAACCCUGGGCUUGCAGUGGAUACGGGCAGACUAGAGGUAGGUAGGGGAGAAUGGAAUUCCUGGUGUAGCGGUGAAAUGCGCAGAUAUCAGGAGGAACACCGGUGGCGAAGGCGGAUCUCUGGGCCUUACCUGACGCUCAGGCGCGAAAGCUAGGGGAGCGAACAGG